rnacentral:rRNA from 1 species
UACGUAGGGUGCAAGCGUUGUCCGGAAUUAUUGGGCGUAAAGAGCUCGUAGGCGGUCUGUCGCGUCGAAUGUGAAACCCCGAGGCUCAACCUCGGGUCUGCAUUCGAUACGGGCAGACUAGAGUUCGGUAGGGGAGUCUGGAAUUCCUGGUGUAGCGGUGAAAUGCGCAGAUAUCAGGAGGAACACCGGUGGCGAAGGCGGGACUCUGGGCCGAUACUGACGCUGAGGAGCGAAAGCGUGGGGAGCGAACAGG